UUACUAGGUUGGUACAAUAUCAGUGGACUGUUUUCAGCGCAGUUUUCUGGAAUGGACGUACUGUAGACAUGAGAUGGAAACACUUCUUGGAGAUUACCAUUUCUCCUGUCCAGCUUGCAAUCAGGAUAUGGUCGCAGUGUCUCUUGAUGGGAACAGGAAAAUGUACAGGUUUAAUCGCAACGGGUAAGUUAACAAAGUAAUUUAUCUUUUAAAAGACAAAACCUAAACCUGUCAGAGUCCAUUCAGUGUUUUUUGUAUUUUUGUAGGAUAAAUGAAAAUCCAUAUUUUGACGGAACCUUCUUUGCCAAAAAUGAAGAGGUUGCAGAGUUUUUGCAAACUAUUAGAGACAAAAUCAAAACUUCACCAGGCCGACCCAUUUGUGGAAACUCACACUUUAAAGCUGGUAGUGAGUCUAACAAGAAGUCUCAAUCCAAACUUGAUGAAGAGGGUGUGAUGAUUUCAGUCUGUAGACACUGCAUUCUUUUGAAUGGACUACAGAUGUACCGUGGAGAAGUGUUUGCAUACCCUCUUUAUCUUCAAAAAGAGCUUGGCAAGACACAAAAGAUUGAGUUUGUCUGCACUGAUGUAAUGUGCAAAUAUUACCCAUACUUAAAAAGAGUGUGUGAGGCCUUUCCUGAUCUAGAGUAUCUUUUGCAAAUGCGACCAUUCUUAUCAGUUAUGCAUGCAAAAGGUCAUUCAACCAAAUGUGAGGUAAUUGUAUUGAUUAUAUAUUUAUUUUAAAUUCUAAAUACAUAAUGAUUAUUAUAUGAGUAAUUUUGAUACAAUGCUGCAAUGAUUAUGCAUAACAGGUGGAGUGGGGUGGCCGCAACCAAGAGGGAGCUGGUGAGUUUUAACUUCAGAGCAGUGGUCUCAAACCUGUUCCAUUGAGGGCCUAGUGUAUGCAGGUUUUCUCUUUUACCUUGUACCAGACUGAGUAGGUCACUAAUUGGUUAGGAUCUUAAUUGGUCACUAAUUGAAGGGAAAGACCAAAAACAAGCAUACACUAGGCCCUCUGUGGAACCGGUUUGAGACCCCUGCUUUAGAGUAUCUACUGAUAAACCUGUCAUUGGAUUAUUCUCAUAGACAGGUUAAAUGUCCAUAUCGUAAUUUAAAUUACACUUUUAAAGGAAAUCGCUAACAUUUACAAUGGUAUAUAAUGUUUUUGGGCCCCUCUUAGUACUGUUGUUGUGUCAUUAUCACUUCACGCUUGUAUGUUAAAUGUUGCAUUGUUUCUGCUGGAAUUUGGAGUUCCUGGCAAAGUCAGAGAAGCUAUAGUCAGGCUCGAACUGCUGACUAUCAUGACAUCAUUUGUUCUGCCUGGCAGCAACUUUGACCACUAUGCCACUCGUACCCCGAUGGAUCUGUUCCUUAACAUUUUUUAUAUUUCCUACUAAUGCAGGUUUGACUGUUGGGGAGGAAGUGGAAGCAGUCAAUUCAUUUAUGUCUCGUGCUGCAUUGACAACAAAAUAUAUGACCAAAUCUGGUGAGUCGUUGGGUUUAAUUAAAGUCAUUGUUAAAUAUGUGCAAUAUUUAAAAUGG
ensembl:lncRNA